UCUCUGGUGGUCCAGCAGCUGAGACUCCGCACUCCCAAUGCAGGGGGUCUGGGUUCAAUCCCUGGUCAGGGAA
rnacentral:tRNA from 1 species